GACGAACGCUGGCGGCGUGCUUAACACAUGCAAGUCGAACGGAAAGGCCCUGCUUUUGUGGGGUGCUCGAGUGGCGAACGGGUGAGUAACACGUGAGUAACCUGCCCUUGACUUUGGGAUAACUUCAGGAAACUUGGGCUAAUACCGGAUAGGAUCUCCUGCUGCAUGGUGGGGGUUGGAAAGUUUCGGCGGUUGGGGAUGGACUCGCGGGUUAUCAGCUUGUUGGUGGGGUAGUGGCUUACCAAGGCUUUGACGGGUAGCCGGCCUGAGAGGGUGACCGGCCACAUUGGGACUGAGAUACGGCCCAGAAUACUACGGGAGGCAGCAGUGGGGAAUAUUGCACAAUGGGCGGAAGCCUGAUGCAGAAACGCCGCGUGCGGGAUGACGGCCUUCGGGUUGUAAACCGAUUUCGCAUGUGACGAAGCGUGAGUGACGGUAAUGGGUAAAGAAGCACCGGCUAACUACGUG
rnacentral:rRNA from 1 species